CAUGUCUUUUUGAUAAUAAUUUAAAGUCAGGCCUGCUCAAUGAGAUAUUAAAUAGCUGCAGUAUAUUGACUGUACAAAGGUAGCAUAAUCAUUAGUUUUUUAAUUGAAAGCUGGAAUGAAGGGUUUAAUGAAAAAAUAACUGUCUCUUAAUAAAUAUUUAGAAUUUUAUUUUUAAGUGAAAAAGCUUAAAUUUUUUAAAAAGACGAGAAGACCCUAUAGAGUUUAAUUUUUUUAAAAUAAUAAAAUAAUUGGUUAAUAUAGUUUUAUUUUUUGAUGGAAUUUUAUUGGGGUGAUAAUUAAAUUUAAAAAACUUUAAAAAUUAAAAUCAUUUAUUUAUGAAUAAAUGAUCCUUUAUUAGGAUUAUAAGAAUAAAUUACCUUAGGGAUAACAGCGUAAUUUUUUUUGA
rnacentral:rRNA from 1 species